UUCAUCUCUGUUAGCCGAAUGUUGAAAAGGAAGAAACCAUCCAUGGCUUCUUAGGUUUCGGCAUUUACUUAGCUUGAUUAAGGUAUGUUUUGGUUUCGGUUUUUGAUGAUUUUUACGUUUUUGUGAUCGUUGCUUCGAGUACUACAAGACCCAUGCUUGAAUUUUUGAAAUUUAUGAUGAUUUGUGUUUUUCCAUUGAUGAUAGCUUGUGAUUUUUUAUGUUUGAUAAUGAAAUAUGAAAUAUGAAAAUAUGUGUUAGAUUAACAUGUUUUAUCUUGGGAUUUUUUUGAUGAAUUUGAGUAAUUAGGUUUAAAUUGUGAAAAUAAAAUUUUGGAGGACUAAAAUGCAAAAUAAAUGAAAUGCAUGGACUUGUAUGAGUAUAAUAAAUAUUCGGCCUAAGCAUAGUCUAGUCAAAAUUUGAAUGUUUUGUGUUUUGUGUAAUUUGGACUAAAUUGUGAAAAGUGUAAAUGUUAGGAGCAAAAUGGUAAUUUGCCCAUUUAAGUGUUUUUGAACUAAAUUGAGUGAAAAUAUGGUUGAAUAAGUUUAAUUUAAAUAUGUUUAGAUCAAGAAAAGAGAAAUUCGAAUUUGGAUCGGGGGAAAACUAAAGUCGUCGACUAGCUGUUCCGUUCCGUUUUACAUCGUCGAGGUAAGUCUAUUAGCAAUUUAAUGUUAUUAAAUCAGAAUAUAUAUAUCUAUCAUACAUUUAAUAAGCUGGAAUUAAUAGUAUAUAAAUCAAAUAGAACUUUGUGAUUUUCAUAUGUGUUAGCAGAACAUAUGAAUUGAAUUAGUUAGAUUCAAAUUAGUGGUAUAACUUACAUGUAUAUUAGCUAUGGUAUGCUUUAAGCUCAAGGAAAUGAAACUAAUAGUAGAAUUUACAUGGUUAAAGUUCGAAUGUAUGAUACAAGUUUAUUGAGCUGAACUUAAUAUUAUGAAUUUCAUAUAUAUAUGUGGUUCGAAUAUAUAUUCAAGUUCUUGAGCUGAAUUUAAUGUAUGAAUUUUAUAUACAUAUAUGGUUCGAAUAUUAGUUACAAAUUCCUUGAGCUGAAGUUAAAGUUGUGAAUUGUACAUAUAUGUUCGAAUGUGUGUUUGCUAUGGAGAAUUUAAUAUAAUUAAAUUUUUACGGAGAUACAGUUAUUGAGUAAGACUUAGGUAAUCAUAAAGAAUUAUACGAAAGAUCAUCUUUGUAUAUGAGAUUUUUAGACUUUACGUCUAGCAUGCUUAAUGCCGGUGAAAUAUUUCAGACUUUACGUCUAGCAGACUUAAUGCCGGUGAAAUAUUUCAGACCUUACGUCUAGCAGGUUUAAUGCCGGUGUAUUGAAUCAGGCUUCAAGCCUAGCAGGCUACGUGCCGGUGAAUUUGUUCAAUAUAUGUAUUUAGAAAGUUUAUGUUUAUUGUCAAUGUAAUAUCAAAUGGAUUGUAAAAAAAUUUAAAUAAACAGGUAUGUAUUAUGAUAUAUCCUAUUCGAUGUUGAGGUAAGUAUAUUGAUUGAUUGUAUAUAAAAGUGAUAUUGAUAGGUAUAUAUAUGUAUUUGUCAAAUAAAUAUUUGGCCUUAUGCUAUAGUAGUUUUAAUUCAAAAGUUUAUAUAAUGUUUAUUAGAUGUAAUGAAAAUGUUCUAAGGUUAAUAAAUGUUUAGAUAAUAAUUAUAUGUGGUACUUACAGUUUUAAUAAAUUUACUUAAGGAAUUAUAUGAUUCUUAUAUAUUUUUGUUAUGCCAAAAGACUUACUAAGCUUUAUAAGCUUACUUGGUGUGUUUACGUUUCUCUAUUUUAUAGACUUUUAAAUCAAACUUCAAGCUCGGGGAUCGUUAGCAGAGUUCAUCACUCUAUCUACUGUUUCGGUAUUUAAAUGUUUGAACUCAACUUAUGGCAUGUAUAGGCUGGAUGAUAUUUUGAAUGUUGUGUUUUAAAAUUUUGUAUCUGUAAUUAAUAACCAUGCGAAAGUGGCUUAUUUCCUUGCGGUUGAGUUUGUUUUCAAUUCAUAUGUUUUGUACUAGUGGUUUAAAACCAAGCUUAUACUUAGGCAUAUUUGAUUUUGGUUUAAGCUUAUGAUAUA
rnacentral:lncRNA from 1 species